UCCCUUGUGGCUCUGCUGGUAAAGAAUCUGCCUGCAAUGCAGGAGACCUGGGUUCAAUCCCUGGGUAGGGAA
rnacentral:tRNA from 1 species